UGGGUUAAGUCCCGCAACGAGCGCAACCCUUAUCCUUGUUUGCCAGCACUUCGGGUGGGAACUCCAGGGAGACUGCCGGUGAUAAACCGGAGGAAGGUGGGGACGACGUCAAGUCAUCAUGGCCCUUACGAGUAGGGCUACACACGUGCUACAAUGGCGCAUACAGAGGGCGGCCAACUUGCGAGAGUGAGCGAAUCCCAAAAAGUGCGUCGUAGUCCGGAUCGGAGUCUGCAACUCGACUCCGUGAAGUCGGAAUCGCUAGUAAUCGUGGAUCAGAAUGCCACGGUGAAUACGUUCCCGGGCCUUGUACACACCGCCCGU
rnacentral:rRNA from 1 species